AGAGUUUGAUCAUGGCUCAGAUUGAACGCUGGCGGAAUGCUUUACACAUGCAAGUCGAACGGCAGCACGGGGGCAACCCUGGUGGCGAGUGGCGAACGGGUGAGUAAUACAUCGGAACGUGCCCAGUCGUGGGGGAUAACGUAGCGAAAGCUACGCUAAUACCGCAUACGAUCUAUGGAUGAAAGCGGGGGACCGUAAGGCCUCGCGCGAUUGGAGCGGCCGAUGGCAGAUUAGGUAGUUGGUGGGGUAAAGGCUCACCAAGCCUGCGAUCUGUAGCUGGUCUGAGAGGACGACCAGCCACACUGGGACUGAGACACGGCCCAGACUCCUACGGGAGGCAGCAGUGGGGAAUUUUGGACAAUGGGCGCAAGCCUGAUCCAGCCAUUCCGCGUGCAGGAUGAAGGCCUUCGGGUUGUAAACUGCUUUUGUACGGAACGAAAAGGCUCUUUCUAAUACAGAGGGCUCAUGACGGUACCGUAAGAAUAAGCACCGGCUAACUACGUGCCAGCAGCCGCGGUAAUACGUAGGGUGCAAGCGUUAAUCGGAAUUACUGGGCGUAAAGCGUGCGCAGGCGGUGAUGUAAGACAGAUGUGAAAUCCCCGGGCUCAACCUGGGAACUGCAUUUGUGACUGCAUCGCUGGAGUGCGGCAGAGGGGGAUGGAAUUCCGCGUGUAGCAGUGAAAUGCGUAGAUAUGCGGAGGAACACCGAUGGCGAAGGCAAUCCCCUGGGCCUGCACUGACGCUCAUGCACGAAAGCGUGGGGAGCAAACAGGAUUAGAUACCCCCGUAGUCC
rnacentral:rRNA from 1 species